UACGUAGGGCGCAAGCGUUGUCCGGAAUUAUUGGGCGUAAAGAGCUCGUAGGCGGCUUGUCGCGUCGGAUGUGAAAGCCCGGGGCUUAACCCCGGGUCUGCAUUCGAUACGGGCAGGCUAGAGUGUGGUAGGGGAGAUCGGAAUUCCUGGUGUAGCGGUGAAAUGCGCAGAUAUCAGGAAGAACACCCGUGGCGAAAGCGGCUCUCUGGAACGGUACUGACGCUGAGACGCGAAAGCGUGGGGAGCGAACAGG
rnacentral:rRNA from 1 species